rnacentral:rRNA from 1 species
GACGAACGCUGGCGGCGUGCUUAACACAUGCAAGUCGAACGGAAAGGCCUCUUUCGGGGGGUACUCGAGUGGCGAACGGGUGAGUAACACGUGAGUAACCUGCCCUUGACUUUGGGAUAACUUCAGUAAACUGGGGCUAAUACCGGAUAGGAGCUCCUGCUGCAUGGUGGGGGUUGGAAAGUUUCGGCGGUUGGGGAUGGACUCGCGGCUUAUCAGCUUGUUGGUGGGGUAGUGGCUUACCAAGGCUUUGACGGGUAGCCGGCCUGAGAGGGUGACCGGCCACAUUGGGACUGAGAUACGGCCCAGACUCCUACGGGAGGCAGCAGUGGGGAAUAUUGCACAAUGGGUGGAAGCCUGAUGCAGCAACGCCGGGUGCGGGAUGACGGCCUUCGGGUUGUAAACCGCUUUCGCUCAUGACGAAGCUUUGUGUGACGGUAGUGGGUAAAGAAGCACCGGCUAACUACGUG